rnacentral:misc_RNA from 1 species
UCCGUAUUGCUACGGCAGUUUCGUUAGAGUGAUACAACUAACGAUAGGGGUUGCGCUCGUUAACCCACUAAAGGGUACGCCUCACGGUACGAGCUGACGACAGCCAUGCAACACCUGUGUAUGCUUCAACUUUCGUUGAUCGUCCGCCUUUCAGCUUCCUACUACAUACAUGUCAAACCCUGGUAAGGUUCUUGGGUUAUCAGCCAAUUAAAGAGCAUGCUCCACCGCUUGUGCGGGUCCCCGCCAAUUCCUUUGAGUUUUAGCCUUGCGGCCGUACUACCCAGGCGGUCCGCUUAACGCGUUAGCUUCGACACCCACUUGCGCAGGCAUCUAGCGGACAUAGUUUACGGCGUGGAGUAC